rfam:Pteropus alecto contig4619, whole genome shotgun sequence.
GGUCAGUGAUGAAAAGAGCCAAAUGUGAGCAUCAGACCUUCUGGUCUACCUGAUGCAUGAUCUCUGCAGUUCUGAGA